rnacentral:rRNA from 1 species
GAUGAACGCUGGCGGCGUGCCUAAUACAUGCAAGUCGAGCGAACAGACGAGGAGCUUGCUCCUCUGACGUUAGCGGCGGACGGGUGAGUAACACGUGGAUAACCUACCUAUAAGACUGGGAUAACUUCGGGAAACCGGAGCUAAUACCGGAUAAUAUAUUGAACCGCAUGGUUCAAUAGUGAAAGACGGUUUUGCUGUCACUUAUAGAUGGAUCCGCGCCGCAUUAGCUAGUUGGUAAGGUAACGGCUUACCAAGGCAACGAUGCGUAGCCGACCUGAGAGGGGAGUGCGCGACCGGGGAAGUGAAACGCGGCCCAGGCCCCUACAGAGGGGAGAAGUUGGAAGUUGUCGGAAGGGGGGGAAAACCUGACGAAGAACCGCCGGGAGGGAGAUGAGAGUCUGCGUGAGGGAAAACUCUGUUAGUAGGAAAAAAAAAAUUUGAAGGUAACUAAGCAGGUGUGGGGGGAACCUAAUAAAAAGGCCCGGGCUAACUACGU